GCUAGCAAUAUAAAAGAGCACGGCGGCCCUAACAGUGAUCUCACCAGCAAGCUCACCACCAAAGGAGCAACAUGAGGCCAAGGGCUCUACUCUUGUUGGGAGGACAGUUUUAGCUGUUUAAUUAGGUGCCUGAGUGAGGAUGUGAACUUGGGGAGAGCAGGGGGUGCCUCAAUUAGAGUAGUUAUGGGUAGAGGAAGGUACGGCAUGGGGCCUCAUUUAGACCAGAAGAGGGAAAGACUGACUCAACAUCUUAUUCCUACCACUUCUUCUGGCUGAUCCCAUAAUAGGAGGGCUUCUGGCUGCCUUUCCAGCUUGUCCUUUGGCCUGCUGGUGCUGCUGUUUAAUGCCAGGGUUGUUGUGACCUCUCUUGUACUGUGCAAACGUCUGCUGCUGAAGCCUGGUGUGUUGCUGGGUGUGUUUUGGAGCAGCAAGGAGAAAUGGAAUUUCCACAAGACUCUCCACCACAGUUAAUGCUGGCAGCCACAAUUCCUAGAGGGCAAUCAUCCUACAAGCCAGGAAAGAACUCAGAAAGAACACAUGCUUGCUAUCAAAGCUCAUCACCACUAAGCCAAUUCCUGACUGAGCCGAGGGUGUUUGGCCAUUGCUAGUAGGAACAUUUGAAACUGCCUUAUACCAAGUCAGACCAUUGGUCCAUCCAACUCAGUAUGACUACACAGACUGGCAGUGGCUUCUCCAAGCUUGCAGGCAGGAGUCUCUCUCAGCCCUAUCUUGGAGAUGCUGCCAGGGAGGGAACAUGGAACCUUUUGCAUACAAGCAUGCAGGUGCUCAUUCCAGAGUGGCCCAAUCCCCUGAGGGGAUAUCUUACUGUGCUCACACAUGUAGUCUCCCAUUCAAGUGCAAACCAGGGCAGACUUAUAAUCGGGUGCUGUGAUACUAUAAAUUGAUAUCAAGCUGAAAAGGGACAAAUUCUCAUCAUUCAUUUCCUUCACUGUAAAAAGUUGUUCAGACGUUUUAACUCCUGAAAAUUCAAAAAUUCUACCCUGCCCCCUUUUUAAAUUCCCAAGUUAUAUGCGACAUUUCCUUUUUGCAAUCAAGAAAAAACAUGGGAACCAGGCGCUCAGUUUCUUUUCUUUUCUUUACAUUUCUGUAGCUUGCCCAAUCAUGCAAAUUGAGCUAAAUACCUGUCAUAUUGGAGAAAUUAUAUGGAGAGGCCAGCAAAGUAUGCAGGUCUUCCUAGAAAUUGAUAGGAAAGGCAGGAUAGAGCCCGAAACUACAGCCAUGCAGGGCAGUUGCCCAAAGUAACAAAAUUGGCACUUUCUGAAAUGUGCUGAAAUGAAAUUUUGAACAUUUUUGAACAAACCUGAAAUUUGCCAUAAUUUCAAAAUUAAAAUUUGCUUUUUAGGAAUGAAGGCAAAUAUUGUUUUUCCUGUGCCUUAGAGACACUUCCUCACAUCAUGCCUCAAAAUAUGUGAAACAGGUAAUGCCUCAAAACGAAACAUAAGGAGAGGGCCAUGCCCUUGGAUUCAAUUGAUUACCUGUAUCCAUUCCACACAGGCCUUGUUUUGACACAUAAAUGGUCUUGCUUGGUGGGAUAGAUGGCUGUGGAGUCUGGAGCAGAACAAAAGGAGGAAGACCCUGUACCUCUCAAGGCCCUUUGACACCAGCAAUCUGGGUAAGCUCUCUGGACUGAGAUGGGACAUGGCUCAGUGGCAGAGCAUUUGCUUUGAAGGUAUGCUUUUCAAUAUCUACUAUUUCCAAAUAGGGUUGGGAAAGCCCCCUGUCUGAAAUCCUGGAGUUAGCACACACAAAAUUGGGCAAGAUGGACCAAUGGACUGACUCAGUAACAUGCAACUUCAUAUAUCCCUAUGAUUGGAACUAUGGUGUUUCAGUGGUUGCAUUCCUGCCUAGAGGAACAAUUCCAUAAGGUGGUGCUAUUACACGGUCCCAUGGCACUUGUGCUCUGGGACUCUACUGUAUGGGUUUUUAUACUGACCUGCCUCCUUUUGAUGACUAUUUGAAGCCCCUGCAUGAGGUCAUUCAGGGAUUUGGGUUGAGGUGUCUGUUGAUACCCACUACUGUCUUUCCUUUACAUCUGACGCAAGUGAAGCUGUGGUGACACUAAAUGCAGAAACUGACUGAGAACCAGUAAAUAUUAGUAUAUUUAGUAUAUUAUUAGUACAUUUUUAAAAACAGAAUGAGGAAUUCUAGUCCUCGUGCUGUUUAAUUCCUGUUUCUGACCGAAUGCAGCUAUUCGGCCCACUCUGAAACAAAUCUUAUCUGACUUAUCUAACUUAAUUGGGGGAGAGAUCCAUGGAAAAUUGUAUCUUACAAGGAUACUUUGCCCCUGUGACCAUUAUACAGGAGGGGAGAAGCAGCUAAAUGACAACCACUAGGUUAAGCUAGGCCAGAAUUUGAACUGACUCUAAAUCUAUAAUCUAUCAUCACUUGUACCACAAGCCAGCUCAAAGACCCACCUGCCCGUGUUGACUUUUUUUUAUGUCUCUGUGUGCAUCUCCUACAUAGGUGCAGCACAGUUCUGAGCCUGCCUUGCUCUCCCCUCAUACUUUACAUCAUGCAUACACGCACAAGUGCUGCUGAAGCACUGUUUUGGAGGCCUUCUCUGGUAACUGACUGAUCACUGAAGUGUUGCCUUCCUUUGCUGGCAUUUUAAAGUGCUUUGUGCAGGAACAUCCUGUCUCUCUUUU